rnacentral:rRNA from 1 species
GGAGGAAAAGAAACCAACCGGGAUUGCCUUAGUAACGGCGAGUGAAGCGGCAAAAGCUCAAAUUUGAAAUCUGGUACCUUCGGUGCCCGAGUUGUAAUUUGGAGAGGGCAACUUUGGGGCCGUUCCUUGUCUAUGUUCCUUGGAACAGGACGUCAUAGAGGGUGAGAAUCCCGUGUGGCGAGGAGUGCGGUUCUUUGUAAAGUGCCUUCGAAGAGUCGAGUUGUUUGGGAAUGCAGCUCUAAGUGGGUGGUAAAUUCCAUCUAAAGCUAAAUAUUGGCGAGAGACCGAUAGCGAACAAGUACAGUGAUGGAAAGAUGAAAAGAACUUUGAAAAGAGAGUGAAAAAGUACGUGAAAUUGUUGAAAGGGAAGGGCAUUUGAUCAGACAUGGUGUUUUGUGCCCUCUGCUCCUUGUGGGUAGGGGAAUCUCGCAUUUCACUGGGCCAGCAUCAGUUUUGGUGGCAGGAUAAAUCCAUAGGAAUGUAGCUUGCCUCGGUAAGUAUUAUAGCCUGUGGGAAUACUGCCAGCUGGGACUGAGGACUGCG